UGUAGGAGCUGGCUUGCCUGCGAUGCAGGCAACUCGGUCUGUCAGAAAACCGAGGUGAUGCCAUCGCGGGCAAGCCCGGCUCCCACA
rnacentral:misc_RNA from 1 species